UACUUAGGGCGCAAGCGUUGUCCGGAAUUAUUGGGCGUAAAGAGCUCGUAGGCGGUUUGUCGCGCCUGCUGUGAAAACCUAAGGCUCAACCUUGGGCUUGCAGUGGGUACGGGCAGACUAGAGUGCGGUAGGGGUGACUGGAAUUCCUGGUGUAGCGGUGGAAUGCGCAGAUAUCAGGAGGAACACCGAUGGCGAAGGCAGGUCACUGGGCCGCAACUGACGCUGAGGAGCGAAAGCAUGGGGAGCGAACAGG
rnacentral:rRNA from 1 species